AUGAUUCUUUGGAUCCAUUUAAUUGUCACGCUCUCUGCCUUCGGAGGUGUCCAUUCUGUUGUGAAUCUGGUGGAAUCUGGAGGGAGUGUGAAAAGGCCUGGUGAUACCCUUCAACUCACAUGCACAGCCUCGGGGUUCAGUGUAGACGGCUACUGGAUAUACUGGGUCCGUCAGGCUCCUGGAGAGGGGCUGGAGUGGAUUGCACAGAUCAUUAAAGGCACAAUGUCCUAUGCAGAUGCUAUUAAAGGCAGAUUCACAAUAUCUUCAGAUAGGCCAAGAAGUCUGACUUUUCUGAGUAUGACAAGCCUGAAAGCUGAAGACGCAGCUGUGUACUAUUGUGCCAGAGAAUCACACAUCUGGGAGAGUGAGAGCGGGGUUAGGGGGGGCAGGUUGUCCCAAGAGGACUUGCAAACCCCAAGAACCGGCUUGGUAGAUCUUUGGGGCCAUGGAAAACUGGUCCAA